UUGGAUAAAGCACCGUAGCGAUGUACUCCUCCAGCUCGUCCACCCUAGGCAGCAGCGCCUUGACCGGCUCGGCGACCCUGAACCGCUCCGCCCAUGCUGCUAGUUUCGGCGCCCUCGCCGGGUCGAUAAGCGGCUCCAAGCCGGCCAGGCGGCCUACUGCCUCAAACCAAGGAAGAUAGCACCCGAGCGCGAUGUCAAGGAACCCGAUGGAGCAACCACUGAAGAACGGCGCCUCCACCUCCCCUUUAGAGCACUCUGCCAAGGCAGCUUCCAAGUGUCGGAGCCCGGACAGGGUCUCCUCCACCUUACUGGCUCUCUCCUCCUGCUUCGCUGUCUUGAGGAUGCCGGUGCACGAAGGGAACAACUGCGGCAACAAAGCGAAUUGAGAGGUGCAACUCCACGCGCAACGAGAGGUAAUCUGUCAAAUGAACUAACCUUGUCAUUCACAUAGGCGGCCCAAACGCGAGCGGCUGCGCGGCUGUAGGGGUCUGCGGGGAGGAUGGACGUGUCGUUGCCGGCAAGGCCAGGGGCAUCGUUGAGGUACUCCACAUAAAACUACGUCCCGUUUGGUCGUCAUCGCAUCACUGGAGAGAGAACGAAAACGAGAAAAGUGUGGACCUCGCCGAUCCUGUCACANNNNNNNNNNNNNNNNNNNNNNNNNNNNNNNNNNNNNNNNNNNNNNNNNNNNNNNNNNNNNNNNNNNNNNNNNNNNNNNNNNNNNNNNNNNNNNNNNNNNNNNNNNNNNNNNNNNNNNNNNNNNNNNNNNNNNNNNNNNNNNNNNNNNNNNNNNNNNNNNNNNNNNNNNNNNNNNNNNNNNNNNNNNNNNNNNNNNNNNNNNNNNNNNNNNNNNNNNNNNNNNNNNNNNNNNNNNNNNNNNNNNNNNNNNNNNNNNNNNNNNNNNNNNNNNNNNNNNNNNNNNNNNNNNNNNNNNNNNNNNNNNNNNNNNNNNNNNGACAGAGUUCGGAGCUCACAAUUUCUGGGUCUCCCAAGCAAAUCAAAGCAGGGUUGCAGCUCUGCAGUAUUUUUGUCUUGGAAAACGACCUGCCUGAGCAUAUUUAAACAAGGAGUACCAAGACUAACUAUUGACACACCCCGCAAAAAGAAAAAAGACUAACUAUUGACACUUUCGUGUACAGGUAUCAGAUUUUCCUGUUCUACGCAUGCAGCCAAAUUUUAAUUAACAAGUACCCCUCUGUAAAGAAAGAUAAGAGCAUUUAGAUCACUAACGCUAUUAUAUUUUUAUAUGGAGGCAGUUCCAUUAAUUUGAUUGUAGUUGCAGACUUGCAGGUCAUAGCGUUUGGAAGCAUUCCAACCAGACCUUAUCGGCUUAGCAUCUUGAUUUAAAAUAUUGCAAAGUGUCACUACAUGACAUGCAUCUCGACCAGCAACUUUACACCUACACCAUAGCGGGGAUCAAAGUCAUGCACGUAACUCUCUUAUUAUUUGAUAGCUCACUUAUUGACACCAAUUGCCGGCAUUUUGAAUCUGGACUUUUUACUGAUUUAAUACACAGUUUCUGGCAUUUAUCUUGUAUUUUUGUUUUAUUCCAUAGGUUGCGCCACUUAACAGUUUUCCGGUCUAACCUUGGGAGGGAAGACGAUGUCUCGCUGAGGUGAUGACGGACCAGGCGCCACCUCGAUGGGAACAAUAUCACAAAAUAUUAGCAAAUAAUUCAUGGUGAUGUGAUGAGCUUCAUGCUAUUGGUGUUUCUCGGUUGCACCAACUUGGUUCAUGCGGAAGCAUGCCUUGGUCCACACAGAUUAUUUGCUAACAUUUUGUGACACACACAUAUUUUCUUGUUUUUGUAGAUUUUUUCGACAAAGCUCGUUUCUGUAGAUAGCUAAACUAGGUGAUGUCUCGCUGAGGUGAUGACCGACCAGCACUAGUAGAAAAAGGGCCUAUUGUCCCGGUUGGUAAGGGCCUUUUGUCCCGGUUUUUGAACCGGGACUAAAGGGUCGUUACUAAUGCCAUAACCCUUUAGUCCCGGUUCUUACACGAACCGGGAUAGAUGGGCCUCCACGUGGCCGGUGCGGCGAGCCCAGGCAUGAGAGCCUUUGGUCCCGGUUGGUGGCACUAACCGGGACCAAUAGGCAUCCAUGUGUCAGCAUUUCAGGGGCUGGGGUUUUUGUUUUUUUUUUGAAAGGAGGGGGGGUUUGGGGGUUUUGGGGGGUUAAUUUAGGUCUUACAUAUAUUGUGUUAGCUAGCUAAUUAAUAGAGAGAAGUGUCCUCUCUUAUCUCCGUGCUUGGUCGACGCUACGUACUAUAUACGUAUGGAGAGGACUAGACACGCUAGCUAGUAAUCAAAUGAAGGAAACAGAAGAUCGUCAUGAACAUAUGCAUACAGAGAGAAGUGAUAUCGACCACCUCUCCUUCUCCGAGAGAUUGGUCGAAAAACAAUUUCUCGUAUAUCUAUCCGACACUACCGGCUACAUAUAUACAAUAAUUAUCUCUUACAAUAUAAUCUCCUAAUUAAAUUGUAAGAACACAGGGUCCACAUAGUAUUCUCCGUUUUCAGCGAUCACGUGGUCAAGGAAGAAUGCCGCCAAUUCCUCUUGAAUUGCUCGCAUACGAUCUGGUGCUAGGAGUUCAUCCCGCAUCCGAAAAAUCUAAUUUGAAGAAGGGGGUCAAUAUAUAUAUAUGAAUAAAUGAAACUCAACACAAAUGAUGGUAAUAAAAUAAAAUUGUGAAUAUUAUUGCUUACGCGCUUCAUAUUGUUCGUCAGAGUAGCCCCGCUCACAGGUCGUGUAGCGGAUGGACUCGCAAACAUAGUACCCACAGUAAUUAUUCCCGGGUUCCUGCCACAACCACUUUACAAGAAAUAGAGGUUAAUCAAACUGAUAAGCAAGCAUGAAUGGUGUUGAUGAAACUAGCGCUUGAAUCACAAGGAGAUGCGCGGAACAUGCUACUAUAGUACUUACUUUCGGGUGUUUAAAUUGUAGCUUCUUCGGCAAUCCCGGAGCUUUUUUGGUGAAUUUUCUCUAAGCCCCGCCAGACAAAGAAAACAAUUACUUGAUAUCAGGAAAUGAACAAAGUUGCUGAUAUGGUGGAUAAUGAUCGAUUUAACUUACUUCUCGAGCAUUUGAGUCAUGUCCGCAUAGUCCUUGGGAUCUUUUCGUCUCAAGUCUAAGACGGUUACUACUCCCUGCUCAAGCUUAAUCUCUAGGAGAAUAUAGUGGAAGCUGCGCACGCAUGCAUAAGUCAUCAAUUACAUUACUAUAAUCUGAACUAAUAAGGGAAACCGAAUAUGCACAAGACAGUAACACUCACUUGAAGUUGUAAGGAAAGAGUACUUAUUUAUGUUACUUUAUGAUAAUUCUUUUUGCUAUUAAAGUUUCUAACAAAAAGGGUUUUUUAUGAAAAUUAUUUUUGCUUUCAAUGAUUUUGAACAGAAAAUACUUCGAUAAUUUUAGUUGCAUCAAUUUUAUAUAAUUUUAGUUUCAAUAAUACUAGAGGUUGCUUAUAAUGUUUUGAACAGAAAAUACUUCGAUAAUUUUAGUUUCGUAAAUUUUAUUUAUGUUAUUAAAGUUUAUUUUAUUUUGUUUCUACUUAUAUAUUUUAUUAAAGUUUAUAUUAUUUUGUUUGUAAUUACUUAUUUAUUUUAUUUGUUAUUUUUCAUGCACCAUUUUUCAUGCAUUUACUGAUUAUUUUGAGCUAUAAGACCCUAAAAUUGAAAAGCAUUUCAAAUGAACUCUGAAAAGGUUGAAAGUUGGCAUGGUAUCAUCAUUUCAUCCACAUAGCAUGUGCAAGAAAGUUGAGAGGGUUACGGCAAAAACUGGAUGCACUUCGUGUACAAAACGGACAAUCUCUUUCGAAGUAUCAGGAUUUCAUACGGAAACUCGUCUGUUACAAAGGGAUUUCAUUUUUUAAAACUUAUUUGAACUCCUGACUUUUUGUGUGUUCAAAAUGCACCAUUCAAAGCCACAUCAUCAAUUUUCAACCCUUUCUGACUUCAUUUGUUAUUUUUCAUUCAUUUAUUGAUUAUUUUGAGCUAUAAGACCCUGAAAUUGAAAAGCAUUUCAAAUGAACUCUGAAAAGGUUGAAAGUUGGCAUGGUAUCAUCAUUUCAUCCACAUAGCAUGUGCAAGAAAGUUGAGAGGGUUACGGCAAAAACUGGAUGCACUUCGUGUACAAAACGGACAAUGGUAUCAUACUCGUCUGUUACAAAGUUGGCAUGGUAUCAUCAUAAUAGUUGCAGGAGAAAGUAUUCACUUUUUCUUCGCUUGUGUCAUUUGCUUAUUGCGCCGUAACCAUGGAUAAUCUUCAUCGUUUAUCAGGAUGCUUGGGUCAGCCUUGACUUUGAAGGGAGGAAUUUCAUGGAACUUUUCAUAAUCUUCAGACAUGUCUGUCUUGCCCUCCACUCCCACAAUGUCCCUUUUUUCCUGAAAGAACUAUGUGGCGCUUUGGCUCAUCGUAUGAUGUAUUCGCUUCCUUAUCUUUUCUUUUUCUCGGUCUGGUAGACAUGUCCUUCACAUAGAUAACCUGUGCCACAUCAUUGGCUAGGACGAACGGUUCGUCAGUGUACCCAAGAUUGUUCAGAUCCACUGUUGUCAUUCCGUACUGUGGGUCUACCUGUACCGCACCUCCUGACAGAUUGACCCAUUUGCACUUAAAAAAAGGGACCUUAAAAUCAUGUCCGUAGUCAAGUUCCCAUAUGUCCAUUAUGUAACCAUAAUAUGUGUCCUUUCCCCUCUCGGUUGCUGCAUCAAAGCGGACACCGCUGUUUUGGUUGGUGCUCUUUUGAUCUUGGGCGAUCGUGUAAAAUGUAUUCCCAUUUAUCUCGUAUCCUUCGUAAGUCAAUACAGUCGAAGAUGGUCCCCUGGACAACGAGUACAACUCAUCACAAACAGUGGUGUCACCUCUGAGACGUGUUUCCAACCAACUGCUGAAAGUCCUGAUGUGUUCACAUGUAAUCCAGUCGUCACACUGCUCCGGGUGUUUGGAGCGCAGACUGUUCUUGUGUUCAUCGACAUACGGGGUCACCAAGGUAGAGUUCUGUAGAACUGUGUAGUGUGCUUGAGACCAAGAAUGUCCGUCCUGCAUAUUAUUGAGUCCGCUCCUAGCGUGCCUUUUCCAGUCAGUCUCCCCUCAUACCGCGAUUUAGGGAGACCUAUCUUCUUAAGGCCAGGAAUGAAGUCAACACAAAACCCAAUGACAUCCUCUGUUUGAUGGCCCAUGGAGAUGCUUCCUUCUGGCCUAGCGCGGUUACGGACAUAUUUCUUUAGGACUCCCAUGAACCUCUCAAAGGGGAACAUAUUGUGUAGAAAUACGGGCCCCAGAAUGACAAUCUUGUCGACUAGAUGAACUAGGACGUGCGUCAUGAUAUUGAAGAAGGAUGGUGGGAACACCAGCUCGAAACUGACAAGACAUUGCGCCACAUCACUCCUUAGCCUUGGUAUGAUUUCUGGAUCAAUCACCUUCUGAGAGAUUGCAUUGAGGAGUGCACAUAGCUUCACAAUGGCUAAUCGGACGUUUUCCGGUAGAAGCCCCCUCAAUGCAACCGGAAGCAGUUGCGUCAUAAUCACGUGGCAGUCAUGAGACUUUAGGUUCUGGAACUUUUCUCUGGCAUAUUUAUUAUUCCCUUUAUAUUCGACGAGAAGCCAGUCGGGACCUUCAUACUGAGCAGGCAUUCAAAGAAGAUUUAUUUCUCUUCUUUCGUAAGAGCGUAGCUGGCAGGACCUUCAUACUGCUUCGGAGGCAUGCCGCCUUUUUCGUGCAAACGUUGCAGGUCCUCCCGUGCCUCAGGUGUAUCUUUUGUCUUCCCAUACACGCCCAAGGAGCCUAGCAGGUUCACUCAAAGAUUCUUCGUCACGUGCAUCACGUCGAUUGAAGAGCGGACCUCUAGGUCUUUCCAGUAGGGUAGGUUCCAAAAUAUAGAUUUCUUCUUCCACAUGGGUGCGUGUCCCUCAGCGUCAUUCGGAACAGUUAGUCCGCCGGGACCCUUUCCAAAGAUUACGUGUAAAUCAUUGACCAUAGCAAGUACGUGAUCACCGGUACGCAUGGCAGGCUUCUUCCGGUGAUCUGCCUCACCUUUGAAAUGCUUGCCUUUCUUUCAACAUUGAUGGUUGGUCGGAAGAAAUCGACGAUGGCCCAGGUACACAUUCUUCCUGCAUUUGUCCAGGUAUAUACUUUCAGUGUCAUCUAAACAGUGCGUGCAUGAGUGGUAUCCCUUGUUUGUCUGUCCUGAAAGGUUACUGAGAGCGGGCCAAUCGUUGAUGGUUACAAACAGCAACGCGUGCAGGUUAAAUUCCUCCUGUUUGUGCUCAUCCCACGUACGUACACCGUUUCCAUUCCACAGCUGUAAAAGUUCUUCAACUAAUGGCCUUAGGUACACAUCAAUGUCGUUGCCGGGUUGCUUAGGGCCUUGGAUAAGAACUGGCAUCAUAAUGAACUUCCGCUUCAUGAACAUCCAAGGAGGAAGGUUCUACAUACAUAGAGUCACGGGCCAGGUGCUGUGAUUGCUGCUCUGCUCCCCGAAAGGAUUAAUGCCAUCCGCGCUUAAACCAAACCAUACGUUCCUUGGGUCUGCUGCAAACUCAGCCCAGUACUUUCUCUCGAUUUUUCUCCACUCCGACCCGUCAGCGGGUGCUCUCAACUUCCCGUCUUUCUUACGGUCCUCACUAUGCCAUCGCAUCAACUUGGCAUGCUCUUCGUUUCUGAACAGACGUUUCAACCGUGGUAUUAUAGGAGCAUACCACAUCACCUUCGCAGGAACCCUCAUCCUGGGGGGCUCGCCGUCAACAUCACCAGGGUCAUCUUGUCUGAUCUUAUACCGCAAUGCACCGCAUACCGGGCAUGCGUUCAGAUCCUUGUACGCACCGCGGUAGAGGAUGCAGUCAUUAGGGCAUGCAUGUAUCUUCUGCACCUCCAAUCCUAGAGGGCAUACGACCUUCUUUGUUGCGUAUGUACUGUCGGGCAAUUCGUUAUCCUUUGGAAGCUUCUUCUUCAAUAUUUUCAAUAGCUUCUCAAACCUUUGUCAGGCACAGCAUUCUCUGCCUUCCACUGCAGCAAUUCUAGUACGGUACCGAGCUUUGUGUUGCCAUCUUCGCAAUUGGGGUACAACCCUUUUUUGUGAUCCUCUAACAUGCGAUCGAACUUCAGCUUCUCCUUUUGACUUUCGCAUUGCGUCCUUGCAUCGACAAUGACCCGGCGGAGAUCAUCAUCAUCGGGCACUGGUUCCUCUUGAUCUUCAGCAGCUUCCCUUGUUGCAGCAUCAUUGGGCACAUCGUCUGGUUCCUCUUGAUCUUCAGCAGCUUCCCCCGUUGCAGCAUCACCGUAUUCAGGGGGCACAUAGUUGUCAUCGUCCUCUUCUUCUUCGCCGUCUUCCAUCAUAAACCCUAUUUCUCCGUGCCUCGUCCAAACAUUAUAGUGUGGCAUGAAACCCUUGUAAAGCAGGUGGGUGUGAAGGAUUUUCCGGUCAGAGUAAGACUUCGUAUUCCCACAUUUAGGGCAUGGACAACACAUAAAACCAUUCUGCUUGUUUGCCUCAGCCACUUCGAGAAAAUCAUGCACGCCCUUAAUGUACUCGGAGGUGUGUCUGUCACCGUACAUCCAUUGCCGGUUCAUCUGCGUGCAUUAUAUAUAGUUAAGUGUGUCAAAAACCAUUACAGAACAUCAUGAAUAGAUAAUUAAGUGACCAAAUUAAUAGAAGUUCAUCAUCACAUUAAAACCAAAGUACAUACAUAGUUCUCAUCUAACAACAUAUAGCUCUCCAGAGCAUCUAAUUAAUUAAACCAUACAUUGAAACUAUGUAAAACAUUUCAAUGCGAAAACAAAUGCGAUCAUAAUCGCAACCAAGGUAACAAUUGACCCAACGGCAUAAUGAUACCAAGCCUCGGUAUGAAUGACAUAUUUUCUAAUCUUUCUAAUCUUCAAGCGCAUUGCAUCCAUCUUGAUCUUGUGAUCAUCGACGACAUCCGCAACAUGCAACUCCAAUAUCAUCUUCUCCUCCUCAAUUUUUUUUAUUUUUUCCUUCAAGAAAUUGUUUUCUUCUUCAACUAAAUUUAACCUCUCGACAAUAGGGUCGGUUGGAAUUUCCGGUUCACAUACCUCCUAGAUAAAUAAAAUCUAUGUCACGUUGGUCGGCAUAAUUUUCAUAAACAAUAAAUGAACCAAUAGUUAUAAAGAUAAUAUAUACCACAUCCGAAUCAUAGACAGGACGAGGGCCGAUGGGGGCGGAUACAAAAACCAUCGCACUAUAUAAUAACAAGCAAUAAAAUAGUAAGAAAAUUAGACAAGUAUCUAUCUAAAGUAAUUUUUUUUCUUUCAGAAAGAAGAUAAGAACAAGAGGCUCACCAUGGUGGUGCCGGCGACGAGAUCGGCGCCGGCGAUCGACGGCGGUGAAGACGGGAAUGGGACAUGACGGGCCGCUAAGCCUAGACAAAUCUCGAGGAAAAUGGAGCUUUGAGGUCGAGCUUCGAGAGGAGAAAGCUUAACUAGUGUGGCUCGGGCAUUUCAUCGAACACCUCAUGUGCAUAGGAGGUGAGCUAGAGCACCACAAAGCCCUCCCCUCGCCGGCCAGAGAAAAACAGAGCACUGGAGUGCUCUGCUCGCGGGCGAGGGGUAUAUAUAGGCACCUCAUUGGUCCCGGUUCGUGGCAUGAACCGGGACUAAAAGGCCUGUGGUCCAGGUUCAAGCCACCAACCGGGACCAAUGGUGGUGGGCCAAGAGCGAGGCCCAUUGGUCCCGCUUCGCCCACCAACCGGGACCAAAGGGGCCAGACGAACCGGGACCAAUGCCCUCACGAGGCCCGGCGGGCCCCUGGCCUCACGAACCGGGACCAGUGCCCCCAUUGGUCCCGGUUGUGGACUGAACCAAAGCCCUCUUUUCUACUAGUGCAGUCGCCACCUCGAUGGGAACAAUAUCACAAAAUAUUAGCAAAUAAUUCAUGGUGAUGUGAUGAGCUUCAUGCUAUUGGUGUUUCUCGGUUGCACCAACUUGGUUCAUGCGGAAGCAUGCCUUGGUCCACACAGGUUAUUUGCUAACAUUUUGUGACACACACAUAUUUUCUUGUUUUUGUAGAUUUUUUCGACAAAGCUCGUUUCUGUAGAUAGCUAAAUUAGGUGAUGAUUUAAUUAUAUCACUUCAUGUAUGCUGGAAGGGAAAUUAGGCUGCCCAUAGUGGGAAGUAAUACCUCCACAGUGCAUAGUACCAUAUGACCUUAUUUACAGCCAUGCAAGACAUAUACUAGUGACACUCACAAAAAAUAAGACAUAUACUCCGCAUGAAUCUGUGUAGACCAAGGCAUGCUUCCGCAUGAACCAAGAUUGACGACGCUUCAAUUUAUAAUGAUAUGAUACUCAAUAAAAAAUUUCAUUUAAUUCUAUGUUACCUCAUCAAAAUUGCUUAGUUGGCAUGCAUGAUACUAGUUAUGAUGCUCCCUCCGUUUUUAUUUACCCUGCAUAGUAACUUUGGUCAAAGUCAAACUUUGUAAACUUUGAUAAACUUUAUAGACAAAAAAUAUUAACAUAUACAAUAGCAAAUCAAUAUCAUUAGAUUCAUUAUUGAAAAUACUUUCACAUCAAAUAGAUUUGUUAUUGUAAAUGUUCAUAUUUUUUUUAUAAACUUGGUCAGACUUUAUGAAGUUUUGACUUAAGUGAAAUCUAAUAUGCAGAGUAAAUAAAAACGGAGGGAGUACUUGCACUACACGCAUAACUUAGUUUUAGUGCUUUCUCGAUCCAUAUUAAUUGUCACGGAUUUAGUACAAAGUUACUAAAUCAGCCAAAAUUAAUAUGGAUGUGAGGGAGUAGUGAUUCCUAAAAAAUAUCCCAGCCCUGGUAAAAUCUAGUCCUUAGAAAUCACUACCCACAGCUAUUUAGCCCCGGAAUAAUAUGCUUGGUAGAACAUACUAAGAAUAAGAUGUGAGGUCUUAAAGAGCUCAAUGGAAAAACAUUGCAAGAUGCAAGAUCGACGACGCUUCAAUUUAUUCACGAAACAACAUAUCACAACUCAUAUCGAAGAGAGUGCACGCCUGUGCAUUAUUCAUGACCACAACCCACUAACCCUCGCAAAAAGAAACCCGACUUAGUAGUAACAGUUCAACUCUUGGCGUGAAAACAGCUACUCACAAGGCAGAGAUCAUCCGCUGGUAAUCGAACGACGCCAUUUUUUAUUUCUUUUGCCAUAGUGGAACGACGAGAUCUUUAAUUAGUUGCCGGUGACCGCGAUGUUCCACUUUGGAUAAAGCACCGUAGUGAUGUACUCCUCCAGCUUGUCGACCCCAGGCCUGCUGCUGGAUCGGCUUGGCGACGCUGAACCGCUCCGCCCACGCAGCUAGUUUCGGCGUCCUCGCCAGGUCGAUGAGCGGCCCCAAGCCGGCCAGGCGGCCUACUGCCUCAAACCAAGGAAGAUAGCACCCGAGCGCGAUGUCGAGGAACCCGAUGGAGCCACCACCGAAGAACGGCGCCUCCACCUCCCCUUUGGAGCACUCUGCCAAGGCAGCUUCCAAGUGUCGGAGCCCGGACAGGGUCUCCUCCACCUUACCGCCUCUCUCCUCCUACUUUGCUGUCUUGAGGAUCCCGGUGCACGAAGGGAAC
rnacentral:lncRNA from 1 species